rnacentral:rRNA from 1 species
CCCUUAGAUGUUCUGGGCUGCACGCGUGCUACACUGAUAUUGCCAAUAUGUCAUUCUUAUCCGAAAUGGAUUGGGUAAUCAAGUAAUGAAAUUUCAUGCUUGGAAUCGGUAAUUGCAAUUUUAUCGUGAACGAGGAAUUCCUAGUAAGCACUAGUCAUCAGCUAAUGUUGAUUAUGUCCCUGCCCUUUGUACACACCGCCCGUCGCUACUACUGAUUGGGUGUUCAAGUGAGAUGCUUAGACCCUUGUUGCAUGGUUCAUUAUUGUGCUCCGAAAGGAAAAAGUUUCAGGCUUGAGUGUCUAGAGGAAGUAAAAGUCGUAACA